rnacentral:lncRNA from 1 species
UCAUUUUUGUUGCAUUUUUGAGUUCAAAAACCUGUUUGAUCCUACUCCUACCUUUGCUUCAAAUCUCUGCAUUUUGAUUUGAGUAGAGAUAUACUUGGGUUAUUUGCAUGAAUAUAGAUUCGGUCAAAUAGGUAAGAGAUUGAAUGAGACUGCAUAGCCGUGAGUUUGCAGAAUCCAUGAGUUUCUUUCUAUGUUUUGAUUGUUUAGAUGUUAAAGUUCCAUAUUCGGUUGCUGGGUUAGAGCUUUGAUGUUUGGUGGGUAAAGUUUAGAUCAAAAUUGAGCAUGCAAAUUGAAACUUGCGUUUGGAAUUUGAAACUGCAGCAAAGAUGUUAGCUGAAAAAUUGCAGAAAGCUUUCUACGUGGAUUGCAUGAGCUGCAUGAAAUAAUUUCCAGAAAAUUGCAUUCCAACCCCCCAAGUCUCCCCUUGUUCCACUAUGACCCAACCAAUUGAAUAAUCUCUUCAUUUUGGUCCUUGGUAGUUUUAUUUUUACAGCUUUAUUGCUUGUUUGCUUCAAUUAAUUACUAUGCUUUGUUUAAAUUGCACUUCAUGCAUGAAUUUAAGAGCUUUAUGACCAUGUG